GAGUGAACGCUGGCGGUAGGCCUAACACAUGCAAGUCGAACGGCAGCACAGUAAGAGCUUGCUCUUACGGGUGGCGAGUGGCGGACGGGUGAGGAAUACAUCGGAAUCUACUUUUUCGUGGGGGAUAACGUAGGGAAACUUACGCUAAUACCGCAUACGACCUACGGGUGAAAGCAGGGGAUCUUCGGACCUUGCGCGAUUGAAUGAGCCGAUGUCGGAUUAGCUAGUUGGCGGGGUAAAGGCCCACCAAGGCGACGAUCCGUAGCUGGUCUGAGAGGAUGACCCGCCACACUGGAACUGAGACACGGUCCAGACUCCUACGGGAGGCAGCAGUGGGGAAUAUUGGACAAUGGGCGCAAGCCUGAUCCAGCCAUACCGCGUGGGUGAAGAAGGCCUUCGGGUCGUAAAGCCCUUUUGUUGGGAAAGAAAAGCAGCAGGUUAAUACCCCGCUGUUCUGACGGUACCCAAAGAAUAAGCACCGGCUAACUUCGUG
rnacentral:rRNA from 1 species